rnacentral:rRNA from 1 species
UACAGAGGGGGCAAGCGUUAUUCGGAAUUAUUGGGCGUAAAGGGCGCGUAGGCGGCCUGAUAAGUAGGGGGUGAAAUCUUGCGGCUUAACCGCAAGGCUGCCUUCUAAACUGUCAGGCUCGAGCACAGUAGAGGCAGGUGGAAUUCCCGGUGUAGCGGUGGAAUGCGUAGAGAUCUGGAGGAACACCGAUGGCGAAGGCAGCCCCCUGGGCUGACACUGACGCUCAUGCACGAAAGCGUGGGGAGCAAACAGG